rnacentral:misc_RNA from 1 species
GAAAUGCGAUACGUAAUGUGAAUUGCAAAUUCAGUGAAUCAUCGAGUCUUUGAACGCACAUUGCGCCCCCCGGUAUUCCGGGGGGCAUGCCUGUCCGAGCGUCAUUUCUGCCCUCAAGCACGGCUUGUGUGUUGGGCCCCGUCCUCCGAUCCCGGGGGACGGGCCCGAAAGGCAGCGGCGGCACCGCGUCCGGUCCUCGAGCGUAUGGGGCUUUGUCACCCGCUCUGUAGGCCCGGCCGGCGCUUGCCGAUCAACCCAAAUUUUUAUCCAGGUUGACCUCGGAUCAGGUAGGGAUACCCGCUGAACUUAAGC